GAGGAAGUUAGUAGUGGUAGUGGUAUCAGAGCAAUACUGGAAUACUCUGGUGGUUCAUUGAGAUGUUGUUGAGGUUAUACUGGGGUGUAUUUGGGUAAUAUUGGGAUAAAUUUGGGAAUAAGAGGUAAUAUUGGGGCACACUAGGGUAAUAUCAGAGCAAUACUGGAAUACUCUGGUGUAAUACUUGCUCCACUAGGAUAUUGGUGAGGUAAUAUUGCAGUAUUUCAGGGUAAUUUUGGAGCAAUAUUGAAGUAAUAUUUGGUCACCUUGGGGGUACUACUGAGCUACACUGCUGUAAUAUUGCAUUCACUAGAGCAUCACUGAGGUAAUACUGGGACACCUUGAGGUAAUUUUGAGGGUAAUACUGGGUGCACUUUGGUAUCAGAGGUAAUAUUGGGAUGAAAAUGGGGUAACAGGCAUCCUAGAGGUAAUAUUGGGGUAUUACUGGGGCACACUGGGGUAAUAUUUGGGUCCACUGAGGCAUCAUCCUUCAGGUAAUAUUGGGGUAUUACUGGGGCACACUGGGGUAAUAUUUGGGUCCACUGAGGCAUCAUCCUUCAGGUAAUAUUGGGGUAUUACUGGGGCACACUGGGGUAAUAUUUGGGUCCACUGAGGCAUCAUCCUUCAGGUAAUAUUGGGGUAUUACUGGGGCACACUGGGGUAAUAUUUGGGUCCACUGAGGCAUCAUCCUUCAGGUAAUAUUGGGGUAUUACUGGGGCACACUGGGGUAAUAUUUGGGUCCACUGAGGCAUCAUCCUUCAGGUAAUAUUGGGGUAUUACUGGGGCACACCAGGGUAAUAUUUGAGUGGUGUAUUCCAGCAAGACACUCCACAUAUAUUCAUGACAUUUUAUUCAUAUUUCAUCUCAAUCUUUUUUUUUCUUUACAUUUAUUUUUCCUUCCCAGUUCUUCGGCCUCUCUCUCUCUCUCUCUCUCUCUCUCUCUCUCUCUCUCUCUCUCUCUCUCUCAUUUUAUCUCCAGUUUCCUUUCCAGUUGUUCUAUCUCCGCUGUGGAAGACGGUCACUGCUCUGCCCCUAAACCUGUCCACAGUGGUGUCCCUCUGUUCUAUCCCCCACUCUCUCUGUUGUUCGUUAAUGAUCUUUCUUCCCAAAAAAACUGUCCUAACCACCAGUGUCAGGACCCAGAAAACGAGGAAACAGAGGAGUGAGAUAUACAACUGUGUAAACACCUGACAGGACAAACACUAACAAAAAGGGUGACAUAUAUAUAAGUGUAAACAUCUCAAGUACAAAAGAGGGGAAACAACGAGGGUAAAGGAAAACAGAUACCCAGAGAGGAAAGGCAGGUAUACAACUGUGUAGACAUCUGACAGGACAAACACUAACAAAAAAAGUGACAUAUAUAACAGUGUAAGCAUCUCAAGUACCAAAGAGGGGAAACAACGAGGGUAAAGGAAAACAGAUACCCAGACUCAGAUACAGAAAACAGAUGCCCAGUGGGCGUGGUCAGAAAGUGUGAACAACCAUUGAAAAAGACUCUGACCCGUGACGUCAGUCGUGGCGAUAUGUUAUGAGCCAAUAAUUUAACAGAAAAAUCACUGAGGGAGUGUCUUAAGACUGACUCACGAAUAGCAGGAGAAGUAAAACAAUACAACAUAAUGAGCUAGCAGAUGGGUGUGACAGGAAGUAUUGGCCAUUGGUUAUGUAGAAAAUUAAGGGCGUGUCAAGGAUGUAAGUCCGCCUAAAGCAAAGAAAAAUGUGGCCUAGAAAUCAAUGGUAUGGGUAGACCGAGCUUGGUUCUCGCCUCAAGCAGACCUGCUACUCACUCAGCCGAGAAUGGCUGUUGUGAUCUUAAUCGUGAGUAGAAAUUCGAGAAUCUAGGGGAAACCGACUGUAUUGUCCUGGAGAUUAUAAUGUAGGAGAUGUGAAGUAGGAUUGUGAGUGGGACAGGAUUGUGAUUAUUUGUUUGCGAUGUAAAGCAAAGGUAAAACCACUGGGUGUGGUAAAAUAAUGUGUUUCCAUGACUUGUAGUAGAUUAUACUAUAGGAAUGUGUUAUUAGGAUUUUGUGAAGAGAGUACAUAAUGAUUGUGAUGUAAGCAGAGAGAUACAAACCACUGCUUGUGGAACGACGAGUGUUAUUAUUAUUGGCAACAACUGAGCACAUAUUGUAGUAUCAUGUUUAAGACAUGUCGUUUGUCAUAUGUUGCAUCCAUUGCUGAAUAUGCCAGUGUUAUGAUCGUCUGAGCAAAGAAUAUUGCGUAAGGCAAUUACUUUCAUUUAAUUUUAAAUAAAUGUAUAUUUACUUUUUCCCUUGUUUAUCCCCGAACACCAGUCUCCAAUAACAACUUAAGCCGGAUCACGCUACCAGGGAUACGAGACGGUGAGAUCAUUUAUGGAGUAAUUAAUGAGUGAUAAGAGUUGAUUUAAUACAAGAAAAGAAGGGUCCAAAACUGGCGGCAGCGGUAUAGGGAUAAAUAGGGACAUGUGCUUACAGUGCUUUUGUUUAAUUUACUCUGACGAGAAAACGCCUCUUAUUUUCAUCAAGCUUUGCUCGUUUUAAGUGGCGGAAAUAAUAGUGACGAUUUAAUUAUAUAAUUAAUGGUUCUUCCGGAGGACAUGGACUUUGACGAUAUGGUAAUGGAAACUCUGGCCAACCACUGUUGUUCUGUAGUGCAAUGGGUAGCACACGCGACUCAACCGAGACUUCAUGAGUUCCUUUCCGGGAGGAGUGGAGAGGGAUGGGCAGUCUCUCUCCACCCGCGCCGCGAUCCAUUCAUCAGUGAGAGGGUGUCAGGUGACAGGCAGCGGCAGCGUCCUGCCUCUCAGGUUUGUUUGUUUUAGGAUUGUUACCCCAGGAUGGAGGGGAACACGGGGCUCUACGCCUCACAGGGAGGUGGUGUGCCGCGGCGGGCAUGCAGCCAUAGAGUGACUUUAUAAAGGCCUAACCCGCGUCCCCCAGGUAGGAAGUGUAGAGUAUGAUCUAGAAAAAAUGUGAAAUACUAAGAAAAGUGUGAGGUAUGGAUAAAAAGUCAUGAAUAAAAAAAUAAAAAAAUGAAGCAUAUGGACAAUAGUGUGAAGUAUUAAGAUAAAUGUGUGAAGUAAGAGAAUCAGAGGAAGAGGAGGCCAGGGUAGUGCCCCCCUCAGUUAUCUACUACAAAUAACAUUAAAUAAACAAAUGAAAAUAAAUAAAUAAAUAAAUAAAUAUGCACACUUGCAGUGGAAAAAACGGAAAAUGAGCGAAGAACAAAACAGGGAGUAACCUUUAAUAUAAUAAGAUGAAGGCUAUAACGAAGAAGGGAGUAACCUUUAAUAUAAUAAGAUGAAGGCUAUAACGAAGAAGGGAGUAACCUUUAAUAUAAUAAGAUGAAGGCUAUAACGAACAAGGGAGUAACCUUUAAUAUAAUAAGAUGAAGGCUAUAACGAACAAGGGAGUAACCUUUAAUAUAAUAAGAUGAAGGCUAUAACGAACAAGGGAGUAACCUUUAAUAUAAUAAGAUGAAGGCUAUAACGAACAAGGGAGUAACCGCCUCACAUAAAUAUAAGGAAAAGAAGGCUAUAACGAACAAGGGAGUGACCUUAAAAAUAAUGAAAAGAAGGCUAUAAUCAACAUAACUCAAGAGUAACUUUGGUAGGCAGAUCGCACUACUCAUGAUAAUACAUAUGCAAAAGUGGCAGCACUCCUAGAAACAGGAGCGUGUGUGAGUUUUAACGGAUGAAUUUAUUAAAGAAUUAGGGCUCGCAGUAAAUGAAUGUGAAGCGAAACCCGUGAAUAUUGUCUCUGUGCAAAGAUACCAUAUUGAAAAUGACGGUAAAAGACAAGUUAAUAUGGAAGGAAAAAGUAGUUUCCAAGACUUAUUGAUAACACGCGAUGUAGAUUUGCCGACUCAUAUUAUGUUGAGUACUGAUUUGUCGUGUAGCACGAGAUUAUUUUGAAAACAUUGCAACUAAAUGAGGAACAAAAGAACGAAGCUUAAAACUGAUAAUAGAAGGGGAAACCAUACAAUUAUGCCAGGAAAAAUGUCUUAUAUCUAGAGGUGAAGGAUCUUAGCUAAAUGUAGAUGGAAAUGAAGAAGGUCUCACUGAAAAUAAGGCCGUACGUUGCCAAGCAGCGGAACCUUUGCAACUGCAUGCAUCUGUUGCAGGUUACAUAACGAUAGUGACGCAACUACAGGCAAGUGAAGCUUUAUUUGAGCCUUGUGUUAGUACUCCUCAGGCUAGAGUCUUGUGCUCAGGGAUAGUUAAGUUAACCCCUUCAUCUGACAAUCAAAGAUCUUAUGUCACUGUGCCGUAUUUGAAUAUUGAAAGUGAGUGUAAAGCUAGAUGAUAAUACAACGUUAGGAUUUGUGAAGCCUGUCACUCAUGAGCUAUACGCUGAUCUGCCACAAGUAUCUAGUGUACAGACCGCUGACACAGCUAAAACAGACUUGAAGCCCGCAGAGCUUGAAGUAAGGAAGAAAAGCCUCUAUCAAAUUGUUGACGCUAAAUUCCCAAGUGAAGAGAGAGAAUCAGGCUUUAAAGUCCUUAAUAGAUAAAUAUAUAACAGUGUCUUCCACAGAACAAGAACCAUUAACAGUAACGCCCUAUUUUUUUAAGCACCAUCAAGCAAAACACUGAUGAAGUAGUGUACAGGCGUUCAUAUAACAUUCAUAUCAGUUAUCAUGACAGAGUAAAUAAACAACUUAUAUCGCUCCAGCAACAGGGUGUGAUUCGCCCUUCGCGAUCACCCUAUAAUGCCCCACUUAUCCCAGUGCAAAAAAACAUGGAGUACUACGACUUUGUCUGGACUUCCGGGCACUUAAUAAAACACUACGGGACGACCGGUACCCACUCCCUAAUAUAAUUACCAUACUCAAUCAAUUGGGAGAUAGUAAGUUUUUUUUUCAUGCCUAGACUUGAAACAGGGUUACCAUCAAAUCCCCCAAGAUGAAAUCAGCAGAGAGAAGAUGGCAUUUUCUUCUCCAGCAGGACAUUGGGAAUUUACUUCCCUCCCCUUUGGCCUUAAAACAGCCCCGUCCUGUUUCAAGAAAAUAAUAAACACUGUCCUUACAGGACUAUUAAGCAACAAGGUUCAGGUGUACCUUGAUGACAUAAUUAUCCUGGGCGAUAUAUUUUCUAAUCACGCAGAUAACUUAGAACAAAUUCUGGAUCGCUUAAAGGAAGCCAAACUGACUCUUAAGAUGGAAAAGUGUAACUUUUUUAAGGACAAAGUAGAUUACCUGGGCCAUGCCAUCCGCUCAGAGGGAAUAAGACCUCAAUCUAGCAAGCUGGAGGCCAUACAAAACGUCCUGGCCCCCCAAACUGUUCAUGAUUUACAGUCAUUUCUUGGAUUGACUAAUUAUUAUCGCAAAUAUUGCAAAUUAUUCACAAAUUGUUGCUCCUUUUCUAAAGAUUUACAAAGGGAAGAAAGGUACACAAAAAAUAAAUAAAUAAAUAAAUAAAUAAAUAAAUAAUUAAAACUCCACUCAUAUGGACGGAUGAAACAAAAAUUGCGUUCUCAACCCUUAAGGAUAGAAUGCUUGGUACAGUCACUCUACGCGUCCUACUACAAUACUGGUGGAGUAUUGCAAUAACAGGAUAAUGAUGAUAAACUAAGACCUGUAUCUUUUUUUGUGAGAAACUGAAUACGGCAGAACAGCGGUACAGUAUAGUUGAACGAGAGGCUUUAACUGUAAUUUAUGGGUUACACGUAAACCGCCCAUUAAUACUGGAUUACCCUGUUGAGAUCCACACGGGUCACAGACCUUUAGUCUGGUUGUUACAGGUAGCUAGUCCCAACGGCAGGAUAGCUAGAUGGCAGACUCUCAUGAGUGAGUAUGGUUUCACAAUCAAUCAUUUGCCUGGCAAGGAAAAUAUAGUAGCAGAUUUUUUUUAUCAAGGAUGAAGGCUCACAGGACACUGAGAUUGAAUUAGAAGGACACGCGCGAUAAUGUUUGUGGAUGGGGAACAACAAAAACCGUGGAACACGUGGAUAAUGAGGGGCAAGGUAUUCCACUAGUGCAGAAAAAGAAACAGGCGCCGAAAAAUUAGAAAAUAAAAUACAUGAUAUGUAUGGACCUGAAUAGUGAGUGUAUUGGCCACACACUUGACUGGAGUAUUCAGGAGAUUAGUGAGCUGCAUGAUGAGCAGCCAGCAUAUAAGUAUGCUAAAAGAAGGAAGCCCCAAGAAUGAAAAUUGAGCAAAGACUCAGAGAAAAAAAGGCAUAAUGUGAGAUGCCGCCCCUGUUAGAGGUACAGGUGGAAAUUAUGUUAUAUUGUGUUGAAGAUGGGCAUAAUGUGAGAUGCCGCCCCUGUCAGAGUUACAGGUGGAAAUAAAUGAUGUGUUUUAGUGAGUCCGUACGGAGAAGCCACUAAGGUGGUGAUUCUACCCCCCAAGUAUUUCCAAG